rnacentral:rRNA from 1 species
UUCAAACGAGAGUUUGAUCCUGGCUCAGAAUCAACGCUGGCGGCGUGCCUAACACAUGCAAGUCGAACGAGAAAGUGGAGCAAUCCAUGAGUACAGUGGCGACCGGGUGAGUAACACGUGAUCA